GCCCGGAAUCAAAAAGAAAGGAACUCCCUCGCGUCCCUACCCGGGAGGAGCUCCCAUCCGAAUGGGGAGACAACAUAGAGAGGGACACACGUAAGCGACGGCCCAGCUCUGCCGCUCUUUGUUCGAAGUCUCCUUCCAGCCCCGACAUUGUCCAGAUCUCAGUGUUUUCCUCCGUCCUUCUUGUUGCUGAUUUUAGUUCCAAAACUCGGGCGCUGGGGGUGGGGGAGGGAAGCCAGCCGGGGCUCUAACCUUUGGGGGCUUUGCUCGGUCCUUUUAUCAUAGGUAACCAUUCAUCUCACUUCCCCGUUCCCGGUUUGUGUCAUUUGCAUUUUAAUUGGUGGGUCCCAGAGCAAAUUACCCAGAGAGAGCUUUUGAUCCUACCGCCCCUUGAACCCCGCUGGUGCCGCUGAGAUAAAUCUCCCUGGCCCCGACUGAGGCCAGUGAGCGCAGCUGCUGACAGGUGCCGGAUGCUCUCAGGGGAAAACGUUUCAUCAAUUAUCAUAAUUGACACCGAUAGCAGACAGCCGACUUAACAAAUAGCCAAAUGUGUUGCCAGGAGGAGGGGGAAAGAGCCCAAAUGGGUCACACUUGUGGAGAUGUCUCCUUGGGGGUCUCGGGAAGCUUAGCUCUGCUGUCAUUGACCAAUCAGAAGGGAGACUGACACGUGAAAUGCCACGAGGGCCAGCCAGAAGAGCUGCGUGGGCUUAGGGGUCUAGUUUUAGCUUUGGUGACCCAUGCUAGGCUGUACCACCUCUGGUAAGUCCCUCAUCGGGCUCAGACAGCUGGACUUGGAGACAGCAGGGUUCUGGGUUCCAAACGGCCCUGCUUCUGCCAUGUACAAGUUGUCCCAUCACAAGACACCUGGGGACUCAGCACAUUGA
rnacentral:lncRNA from 1 species